rnacentral:rRNA from 1 species
UACGUAGGUGGCAAGCGUUGUCCGGAUUUACUGGGCGUAAAGAGCGCGCAGGCGGUCGUUCAAGUCGUGUGUGAAAGCCCCCGGCUCAACUGGGGAGGGUCACUCGAUACUGAUCGACUUGAAGGCAGGAGAGGGAAGCGGAAUUCCCGGUGUAGUGGUGAAAUGCGUAGAUAUCGGGAGGAACACCAGUGGCGAAGGCGGCUUCCUGGCCUGUUCUUGACGCUGAGGCGCGAAAGCUAGGGGAGCAAACGGG